ensembl:misc_RNA Metazoa_SRP Metazoan signal recognition particle RNA
GCCUGUAGUCCCAGUUACCUGGGAGGCUGAGGCGGGAGAACCACUUGAGCCUAUGAGUUCUGAUCUGUCACACACGAUGCCAAUGGGGCGUCUGCACUAAGUUCAGCAUUACUGUGGUAGCCUCCAGGUUGCCUAAGGAGGGGUGAACCAGCCCAGGUCAGAAGUGGAGCAGGCCAAAACUCCUAUGCUGAUUAGUAGUGGGAGUAGCAACUGCACUCUAGACUGGGCAACAUAGCCAGAUCCUGUCUCU